GUAGUUGUGGCUGAGUGGUUAAGGCAAUGGACUAGAAAUCCAUUGGGGUUUCCGUGCACAGGUUCAAAUCCUGCUGACUAUG